UGCGUGCCAUUCACAAGAGCCAUUCCUUUGCUUUGAGUGACCCGUAAAAAGCUAGAUACUGUGAAGUCUACACUGCAUAAAACUGGUUGAAACAGAAGAAUCAGAAGUUCAAGGUUAUCUUCUCCAAUAUAUUGAGUUGGAGGCCGGCCUGGGCUACAUGAAAUCGCAUCUGAAAACAAGGAUGGAGAGCAGCUGUGAUUCUUGCCAGUGACCCAGCAGGGGAAAGUAAGGUCUCCAGAGGAGACCAGCCAUUCCUAGCAGGAAACCCUAACUAAGACAUCUGCCAAUCAGCCUGAGUCUACAGAAGCGGCAAGAAGCCACUGGAAUCUGACGUCACGAGAAGUUCCUUGGUGAGUUAAUCUCUAUGAAGUCAUGACAAGAGAACACUUGCCACGUGGUUCAUGGCCAACAGUAACCAGAGCAUCUUCAGUGAAGACUAUCAAGGUGAAACAAUGCCCAAGCCAUGUCCCACCAUCUGCAGUCAUAUUUAUAUUCUUCCUAAGCAUCACACAUCCUUUCACCUGUGUCUACUUUAGCAGAACACUCUUUCAUGUAUCUGCACCAGCAAAACAUCAUAUGACAUAACUGAGUUCCCAAAGAAACCUGAGAGUUCCACUUCAAACAUGCCUGUCGGCUGUGGUG
rnacentral:lncRNA from 1 species